AACGUUUCAAGCAUUCAGAAACCCUAAUCUUUUCCAGCCUCCAUCUUCCUUCUUCCACCAGUCAAGCAAAUCAAAUGAAAUGGUAGUUUUUCUCAUCUUCAUCUUCUGACAAAUGGAUCUUAUUUAUCUUCUUUCUCACACAGCAACAAAUGACAACCUAAUUUCUGCUAAACCCUAAAACCCACCAUCGCAAAUUUGCUUUGUCUGUUCUUGAUCGAUUCCUCUUUGAUAAUUGAAGGUCCACAUAUAAAGACUGAGUGUUAGAUGUUGGAACCGGACUUGAAAAAUUCGAAAUAAAUUUCUACUUUUGUAGUGGCAAUCUCAAGAUUUCAAAUCCGUUUCUCAAUUGUCGUUCUUUCAUUCGGCAUUUCGAACAAUUACGAUUAGUUUUUUUUAUAUGAUUCAGGUAUAAUUUGAAUCAUCCUUGAUGUUCCGGCUGUUCAAGACAAUGAAUUGGGUUGGUUCGGUAUCCUUUUAAUCAUAUAAUGGUCAAAUACACUUAAUACACCAUACAAUUAUAUUUUCCUUUCCUAAUUUUUUUUUCUUCAGGCUUUUUUGUCUAUUUCGAGUUUAUCUAAUAACUAGAUUUGUUUAUCGUUUAUUCUAUCUUGGCUCUUUGUGUAGAUGUAUGUUUUUUGAUAACACAAAUUUAAAUAUCAAUAUAAUUGUGUAUGUUUUGAAUGCGUUCUAAUCCGAUUUUUAUUACUUUUUUGCAUCUAAUCCGAUAAUUGUGAAACUGCAUUAGCAUAUUUCUUUCUCUGUAGUGAUCAUCUUUAAUAGCACUAAAAGGCACAUCAAGAUACUAAGUAACAAUGGUGCCAUAAACUUUCGGGAUGCAUCAUCUCUAUUUCUUAUUCCAAUCCUAUCAUUCAAUCAAACAGAGGAGAUUAAUGAGAUUGAGAGUGUGUUCAUGUGCAACCAGGUUCUGGAAUCGGUUGGGUAACGGGUCAGAUGGGUAUAUUUGUUCAUGUAUAUUAUUUAAUCAAAAACAGUUAAUUAUUAACUAAUAAGAGUUCUAUUUUUUAUAUUGGUUGCUUUUUAAGCUAGGGGAAAAUGGUAAUGGGUCAACCAGAACCAUGACCUUUUUGCAAAAGUACGAAAGGGUCAUGGUUUGGGUUGAAAAGAAAGAUUACUAAUUUAGUCAGCUAGAAGCCAAAUGUCAUGGUUGGAAAAAAAGAUUUUUAUUUAAUUAAAGUAACGACAAAGUAAUAUUUGGUAUGUAUAUUUUUAAUCAAGUUAUAUGUUCUUAAAGUUUAGAAAAGAAAACGCCGACCAAAAUGGUAUAGCUCAGCCUUUAUCCAAGUCACUGAAAAGCCUAAUGUAAAAAGAUCAAACGACCACCUUCUGUUUUAAUAAGUUGGUUUUGUUACGUUAGUUAAGGUCUCAAGAAAUGCAAAGAUUGGGAUAAGCCAGGGAUGUGGGUAUGCGACCAUGAGCUCACUUGGAGAAUCCAAAGUUGAAUUGCUACUCUAGAUGGUUCAGUAAGUUUUUAAAAUCUUUCGCGUACAUAUCACCAUGGUGUUGCUGGUGUUGCUGUAUGUAUCUGAGUGAAAAUUUGCAUAUAGAAUUAAAUGCAAUCAUUUAAGGUCUAUAAUGAUAUCAAAGACAUUAAACUUUCUAUGUUUUGAUACAUAUAGCACCAUACAUUGUUAUACUCUAAAUCUUUAUAGUUAGUAUCAAAAAUUGGUUAUUUUUAAUAGGAUGUUUAUGGGCAUGAUAUACCAGUCAUGUUGUCAGUUGACAUGAAUAGUAAGUUGGGAAGCACUGUAUCACGUUCCCGGCCUCAAAAGAAUCUGGUACUUACCCUUAGAAAAUGUAUGCUAGCAAUCUUGCCUUGACGGUUAAGCAUGAGGAUAUGAGAAAUCACUUUAGCAAGUUUGGUGAGGUGAUCAGCACAACAGUUUUGCAUUAUCAUAAACGCGAAAAAAAAUUACAUAUACAGGUUUCUUUCGUUCUCAUCUUUUGCAGAACAUGUUUAACUACUAUCUUCUCUCUUUGUAUCUUUUGCAUAUGGCAGAACAAUAAACCUUUGAGAAGUUGUAAAAUGCCCCACACCAGAGCCUCGAGUGGAGUUUCCUGUAUAUAGAAGGAAUUGACGCCAUAUGGGUACCGUACAAGUAUUAAUCUUCAUUUCAUGUACCAGUUCAUUCCAGAAUGACAUCGAUCAACAAUUUCCAGAAAUGCCAGUGAUUUCUUCAACUCCGACUACCGUCGAAAAGACUUCAAGGAUUGCACUGAUCGCCGCCCACAGAAUCGUUCGAGCUCUCGAUUACGAUGUUGAUGAAUUUUAGGCCACCUGCGACCCAGGAAUUAAGUUGUAUGAACUUCACAUGGUUCGAUGAAACUGCUGACUAUUGAUCAAUUAUAUCUUAUAAACAAUUCGAAUGCUGGUAGAUACUGCAUGCUGGCGUGAUGAGCGUUUCUUCAUCAGGUUCUAGACAGGUUUUGGGUGGAGAUCUUGCUCGUAUGAUACAAAUCUAAUAUAGCCUUUUUCAUUUAAAAAUGGGCACCAUGUUUCAAACUUUGAGGACUUAAAUAGGGGCGGGUCUGCUUGGACAACUGGUGUAAGAAGUAAUAGAAUUAAAACAAAACCCUUGGAAUAUUGGAAGGGUGAAAGACCCUUGUAUGCAUGAGUUCAUAACAGUUAUGUUAAAUAUCCAACGGGUCAAACGGGUAUAAUAAUAAACAUGUCAAUGAGCCGAGUAUGUGAAACAGAGCCAUUGAAAAUGGUUUCUCUUGUAAAGACUGUGAAGAUGAGUAUGAAAAUGUAAGUGAAGAUGGAGGUGCAUUUUCUAGGUCCGUACAAGUUGUAAAAUUGAACAAUGUUGAGAGAAAUAAUCAUUCUUUAAAAGAAAGAAAACCAGUGAGUUUUGUGAAAUCCAAUUUUAGUAGAAGCAGUACAAGUAGAAACGAGUGGUUUAAGUGCCAUCAAUGUAGGAGAACCGACACAAUAACAGUUUCUUCCACCAAGUGUAAAGAAAAAGUAUAUCGUAUCCAAUGCAUCAAGCAAUGGUAUCCCCAAUUGUCAAAAGAAGAUUUUGCAGAGCUAUGCCCAUUUUGACGUGGAAACUACAACUGCAACUUGUGGUUACAGUCCAACAUUAAGAUGCCGAAAAUUAAAUUUGAUAAUGAUGUGAAGUUGCAACAUCUUCAUUAUUUAAUCAAUUCACUCCUUUCGUUUUCUAAACAAAUCUGUAAAGAACAAGAAGAGGAAAAUAUCGGUGGAAGCAUCUUCUCGAGGGGUAUCACAGUCUUCACUUAAAAUUAGGCUGGCAGAUUGUUACACUGAUGAGUGUGUCUAUUGGUAGUUUUCUUAAGUAGCUUUGUAUUAUAUAUAUGCAUAACCACAUCCUUCUCAAUAACUUAUUUUGUGGGGCCCUUGCUUUAUUUGAACCAGCAACCAUUGCUCAACAUCAAUAUCUGAUCUCCAUAGAAGUUGUUCAAAAUGCUCAUAUGAGCUAUGUCUUAAUUGCUGUCGGGAAAUACGGAACAAUGAACCUAUCGUUCAAAGAAAAGUAGACUUUGGGUACUACUUUAGAGGUUUUGACUAUGUUCAUGGGGGGAUCCUUAAUGAAUACCACUUUUCUUAAAAAUGCACCGAUGUAUGUAUAAAAUAUUAUUUUAACCCAUUUUUAUAUUUGUUUGGUGUAUAGAGUUUAGCAACUUAAAAUUCUUUAUUAAAUAGAUAUUGAUUUAAUUGAUUGGGGUGAA